rnacentral:rRNA from 1 species
CGGCAAUAGCUCAAAUUUGAAAGCUGCCAACCGGCCGCAUUGUAAUUUGUAGAAGAUGCUUUGGGUGCCGGCCUUGUCUAAGUUCCUUGGAACAGGACGUCAUAGAGGGUGAGAAUCCCGUAUGUGAUUAGGCCUAAUCCCGUGUAAAGCUCUUUCGAC